rnacentral:rRNA from 1 species
AGUAGUUUGAUCAUGGCUCAGGACGAACGCUGGCGGCACGCUUAACACAUGCAAGUCGAACGGAGUUUUAGAGAGCUUGCUUUUUAAAACUUAGUGGCGGACGGGUGAGUAACGCGUGGGUAACCUGCCUUACACAGGGGGACAACAGUUGGAAACGACUGCUAAUACCGCAUAAGCGCACGGUAUCGCAUGAUGCAGUGUGAAAAGAUUUAUCGGUGUAAGAUGGACCCGCGUCUGAUUAGAUAGUUGGUGAGGUAACGGCUCACCAAGUCGACGAUCAGUAGCCGGCCUGAGAGGGUGAACGGCCACAUUGGGACUGAGACACGGCCCAAACUCC